UACGUAGGCAGCAAGCGUUGUUCGGAGUUACUGGGCGUAAAGGGUGUGUAGGCGCCUGUUAAGUUCCGUGUGAAAUCUCCCGGCUCAACCGGGAGGGUGCGCGGAAAACUGGCGGGCUAGAGUGGCGGGAUGGGAGAGUAGAAUUCCUGGUGUAGCGGUGAAAUGCGUAGAUAUCAGGAGGAAUACCGGUGGUGUAGACGGCUCUCUGGACCGCAACUGGACGCUGAAAACACGGAAAGCGUGGGUAGCAAACAGG
rnacentral:rRNA from 1 species